UUCGUUACAGAAGUAAUUAAAAUCGAAGGCAGUCAUGGAGAUUCAUUUUGCAGGGCUCAAGCAAACUUUUCAGAGAGCGUAUAGAAUUUUAAAUCAGAUUGGCGUGAGUGGAAAGGAAAACAAGUAAGAAAAAAUAAAAGCAGCAAAACCAUGAACGAAACUAAUACAAUGAAAAGCUAUUAGGUUAAAUGGGCAGCAAAGAGGCCAGGGAAGAUAUACAUAUAUUAAGAUGGAGAUGGAGAUGGAGGUGAAGAAAAUGCCUUGCAAAAGGAAGCUCGUUUGGGCCAAGCAAAUGACUGCCAAUAAUUUUCCAUCCUAUCUAUGGGCAAAUUGAGCAAAAUGUGGGCCUACCUCAAAACAGGCCGACUUUUAAAGGAAAACGUUGAGAAAAGGAAAACGAAUAUUUACAUACAUACAUAUAUAGACAAGACAAAUGACCACAGCGUAGCCUAGCAUAAAGUACUUACGACUCACAUUACCCACAGAAUAAUGCUUCAAUGGAAUUCACUUGAUUAUUUUCAAGGUUUUCAAGGACUUUAAGUUUAACAUAAAGUAUCGUAAAUUAAAUUUUAUGUUGGUUUAG